rnacentral:rRNA from 1 species
GUGGGGAAUAUUGGACAAUGGGGGGAACCCUGAUCCAGCCAUGCCGCGUGUGUGAAGAAGGCCUUUUGGUUGUAAAGCACUUUAAGCGAGGAGGAGGCUACCGAGAUUAAUACUCUUGGAUAGUGGACGUUACUCGCAGAAUAAGCACCGGCUAACUCUGUGCCAGCAGCCGCGGUAAUACAGAUGGUGCAAGCGUUAAUCGGAUUUACUGGGCGUAAAGCGCGCGUAGGUGGCCAAUUAAGUCAAAUGUGAAAUCCCCGAGCUUAACUUGGGAAUUGCAUUCGAUACUGGUUGGCUAGAGUAUGGGAGAGGAUGGUAGAAUUCCAGGUGUAGCGGUGAAAUGCGUAGAGAUCUGGAGGAAUACCGAUGGCGAAGGCAGCCAUCUGGCCUAAUACUGACACUGAGGUGCGAAAGCAUGGGGAGCAAACAGGAUUAGAAACCCCUGUAGUCC